GAUGAAGAACGCAGCGAAAUGCGAUAACUAAUGUGAAUUGCAGAAUUCAGUGAAUCAUCGAGUCUUUGAACGCACAUUGCGCCCCCUGGUAUUCCGGGGGGCAUGCCUGUCCGAGCGUCAUUGCUGCCCUCAAGCACGGCUUGUGUGUUGGGCUCCGUCCCCCCGGGGACGGGUCCGAAAGGCAGCGGCGGCACCGAGUCCGGUCCUCGAGCGUAUGGGGCUUUGUCACCCGCUCUGUAGGCCCGGCCGGCGCCCGCCGGCGACCCCCCCUCAAUCUUUCCAGGUUGACCUCGGAUCAGGUAGGGAUACCCGCUGAACUUAAGCAUAUCAAUAAGCGGAGGA
rnacentral:misc_RNA from 1 species